UGCUUAACACAUGCAAGUCGAACGAUGAAGCCUAGCUUGCUAGGUGGAUUAGUGGCGCACGGGUGAGUAAUAUAUAGAUAACGUGCCUCUUAGUCUGGGAUAGCCAUUGGAAACGAUGAUUAAUACUAGAUACUCCUUCUCAUUCUAAUAUGAGUCGGGAAAGUUUUUCGCUAAGAGAUCGGUCUAUAUCCCAUCAGUUAGUUGGUAAGGUAACGGCUUACCAAGGCAAUGACGGGUAGCGGGUUUGAGAGGAUGAUCCGCCACACUGGUACUGAGACACGGACCAGACUCCUACGGGAGGCAGCAGUGAGGAAUAUUGCACAAUGGGGGAAACCCUGAUGCAGCAACGCCGCGUGGAGGAUGACGCAUUUCGGUGUGUAAACUCCUUUUACGAGUCAAGAAAAUGACGGUAGCUCGUGAAUAAGCACCGGCUAACUCCGUGCCAGCAGCCGCGGUAAUACGGAGGGUGCAAGCGUUACUCGGAAUCACUGGGCGUAAAGGACACGUAGGCGGGAUGCCAAGUCUGAUGUGAAAUCCUAUGGCUUAACCAUAGAACUGCAUUGGAAACUGGUAACCUAGAGUAUGGGAGGGGGAGAUGGAAUUAGUGGUGUA
rnacentral:rRNA from 1 species